AUCGCCUUCUCGGCCUUUUGGCUUAAGAUCAAAGGUGAGUAUCGUUCGUAUCGCUUAAUAUUGAUACGAUCCCCAUGUGGGAUCUACGUAUUAAACGAUUUUGGAAAAUGGGCGAAGUGCUAGGGGCUUGCUCCACAUUGCGCGGAUCGGCCCGGUAUUGCAGUACCUCCGGGAUUUUUGGUCCCACCGCC